ACAAGAAGAGCAAAAAAAAUGAAGAGCAAUUUCGGCCAUAGCUAGGGGAAUUUCACCCCUCAAAAUCUUCCUCCAAAAAUUAUUAGCUUGUGGUAUUUCCACUAAUUCAAGGGUCCUUUACAACUUGGUGUAGUUGUUUUGGAAGAAGGAGCACUUAUUUCUUCAAGUUGACAACUUGUUCAAGUGAAGAAAUUUAUAGAAAAAGAUUUUGAAGGAAACGGGAAUUGAAUUUGAACUAGCGUAAAGGGCGAAAAAGGUACAGAUGACAGAUUUGCUGACCGCCUGCCUAGGAUAUCUAUUCUGCUAUUUUGGGAGUGCUCUUUUGUCCAGAGCCUAUAUGUUGGUACAGUCUGCUGCUAUUGUAUAUAUAUAUGCUAUUCAGGGGUAUGACGGGGCCCUGUCCCGUCUUAUGAUUCUGUUAUGUUCUGUAGAGGUCUGUAGACAUACAUGUGUGGGUUCUGUAUAUGUUUUGGGUUGAUAUGAUCUGUGAAAGCCUUAUUGGCUUCCACGUACUAUAUCUGUUCAUCUAUGAUAACUAGU